GAAUAUACACCCCCUAAUA
rnacentral:tRNA from 1 species